UUCCGGAAGCAUGGGGGGACAUGAUGUGCUGUCGCAGAGACAAUGUCUUUGCAUUCUCUGCUUCUUGGUUCAAAUAUUCAUCUAAGAAAAGAAGAACAAAACGAAAAAAGCUUGAGUGAGUGUUUAAGAUUGUCAAAGCAAAGCUAGACAUAUCACUUCUUGGUCUUUUGCUCCAUAGAGGCAUCAGACCCACAAGGAAUAGCUUUGAGAUUUGAGCAUCAUGGUCUCAUUGCCAGUAUUUCUCCUGCAGAAAGAAAAACCAGAAAAGAAAAGAAAAC
rnacentral:lncRNA from 1 species